UGAAUACGAGACGCUAAGGCGUCGAAGUAGUGUAUGUCAUACUUCCAAGAAAAGCUUGCACUGUCAUAAAUAGAAAAUGCCUGUACCAUAACCGACACAGGUGGGUAGGUAGAGUAUACUAAGGGGCGCAAGAUAACUCUCUAAGGAACUCGGCAAAAUGACUCCGUAACUUCGGGAGAAGGAGUGCCUUAUUUUUAAGGUUGCAAUAACAAGAUCCAAGCAACUGUUUAUCAAAAACACAGGUCUCCGCUAAGUCGUAAGACGAUGUAUGGGGGCUGACGCCUGCCCAGUGCCAGAAGGUUAAAGAAGUUGGUUAGCAUUAGCGAAGCUGAUAACUGAAGCCCUGGUGAACGGCGGCCGUAACGAUAACGGUCCUAAGGUAGCGAAAUUCCUUGUCGGGUAAGUUCCGACCCGCACGAAAGGCGUAAUGAUUUGGAUACUGUCUCGGAGAGGGGCUCGGUGAAAUAGACUUGUCUGUGAAGAUGCGGACUACCUGCACCUGGACAGAAAGACCCUAUGAAGCUUUACUGUAACUUGAAAUUGAAAUUGGACUUUAGUCGCGCAGCAUAGGUGGGAGGCGUUGAUGAUGUUCUUGCGGGAACAUUGGAGCUAUCAGUGAGAUACCACUCUUCUAAUGUUAGAUUUCUAACUUUGAACCAUUAUCUGGUCAGAGAACAGUUUCAGGCGGGCAGUUUGACUGGGGCGGUCGCCUCCCAAAUGGUAACGGAGGCGUACAAAGGUUUCCUCUGAACGGAUAGAAAUCGUAUCUAGAGUGUAAAGGCAUAAGGAAGCUUGACUGUGAGACCUACAAGUCGAGCAGGGACGAAAGUCGGUCUUAGUGAUCUGACGGUACUGAGUGGAAAGGCCGUCACUCAACGGAUAAAAGUUACUCUAAGGAUAACAGGCUGAUCUCCCCCAAGAGUUCACAUCGACGGGGAGGUUUGGCACCUCGAUGUCGGCUCAUCGCAUCCUGGGGCGGUAGUACGUCCCUAGGGUUGGGCUGUUCGCCCCUGAAAGCGGUACGCGAGCUGGGUUCAGAACGUCGUGAGACAGUUCGGUCCAUAUCCGGUGUAGGCGUUAGAAUAUUGAGAGGAGCCUUCUCUAGUACGAGAGGACCGAGAAGGACAUACCUCUGGUGUACCAGUUAUCGUGCCAACGGUAAACGCUGGGUAGCUAUGUAUGGAGUGGAUAACCGCUGAAAGCAUCUAAGUGGGAAGCCCACCUCAAGAUGAGUAUUCUCAUC
rnacentral:rRNA from 1 species